ensembl:ncRNA asRNA:CR44266 antisense RNA:CR44266
GUUCUGGUCUACUCAGGCGUUAGGUCUACUUUAAAUUGUGUGUAUAUUUGUGAGCUGCUUAUUCCUUGUUCCAGGCUGCCAGGUAUUUCAUGAGGUCCGUGAGACUCUCGAAAUCGGUGCGGCUGGCUGGUGGUUCGUCCUUGGUGAUUCUUGGCAGUGCAUUGCCCAUCUUGAGGCGGAACUCCUGGAACUGCGAACGAAACGAAAGAUUUAAAGCGAAAUUCAUUGAACAAAUCGGAGGCAUGCUCACAUCCUUGGCUCCGGAUAGCUUCCAGAAGCCGUAGCAGAAGGCGCCGGUGCCCAUCACGGCGUACAGUGUGCCCCAGCCCAGCGCCCGCAGGGCCAGGGUGGCGCCCUCGUCCAUCAGGAUCAUGCCUUGCCGCGUUCCAGCCUGCUGGAGGACCUUGCUAUCCGUCUUCUUGGCGGUGGCCAGCGUGCGCGAGAAGCCGAACAGAGCGGACACCCCGCCCACCAAACCCAGAAAGGCGGCGGCUAGAAAGGAGGAUGAAAUGGAGUUGUACUUCAGUCAGUUGCUGGCUGAUAUAUAUGCGUGUGUCUGUAUGUGUUUGGAGAACCACCUACCCUGGAUGCGGAACUUGCGCUCCUUCUCGGCGGCCACUGCAUCCGCGCUGGUGCCGGCCUCGCUCAUCCUUCUCAAUUGCGAUUUAUUGUUGUCGUAACUACUAAUGCCCGAAUUGGAUCGCACAACACAGCUGAUUGCUUGACCGCUCUUGACAACCAACACUGGUGCCGCAGCUGCCACUGCCACUGACGCGUUCGCAGAGGUGCUAAGAUGGCGGGAGGGAAGCUAGAAGUGAAGUGCUAAAAGAUAGUUCAAAAUAUUCAACAGGUACUGGCCUUUCUCACUGACUAUGAGAGUCAAUUUGAUUUUAAUGUGCUGCAU